ACUUGUAGUAUCUACAGUGACUGGAUCUACUAACAAUUACUACAAUGGUAAGAUACUGACUACUAUACUAAUGGAUAAUAUACCUGUUUGAAUUAUAUAUACUAUCAACAACAAGAACCUACUGGUAAUAAAGGAUUAGAUCUAAUCACAGAUUGUUCUGACAAAAAAUUUGUUGAAUUUAUUAAUAAUUCUAUGACUCCAUUUCCAUUAAAACGUGGUGGAGCAUUACAUUGGAAAGCAGUACUAAAGAUCAAAAGAACCAUACAUUGGGGUAUACUGCAUUUGACAGUAACACAUAACUUCAAAGAUUAUACUAAUAUUACUUUCUUAGAUGACAAAUUCAAUUUAUGCGACUUUUUAGAUGAUUUAAUUAAGGAAUAUUGUCCAAUACAUCCAGGAAUGUAUUAUCUAAACACUCAUACUGCAUUGUCAAGCCACCUUUGGCCAGGUGAGUAUUAUGGUAAAGUAACUGCUUACAAUGAGAAAGGAGAGCAAAUGAUAUGUCUAAUGAAGCAAGGAACCAUUAAAUAAUGAACAUAUUAUUGACACUUGCAUGCAGUAUAUACUUCAUAAAUAGACAAAAUGUUAUAAUAUUUAGAGUAGAAGCACCAGU